rnacentral:lncRNA from 1 species
GGACUUCGCAGCUGCUGACAUGAGUCGUGCAAUGUACGUGCGCUCCAGCCUUUUUUGGCUUGCCGGGUUCGAUUCAUCGCCGGUUAACCCCGUCCCAGGUAUAGGCGGCAGAGGAUGGACUGUGCGUGGAAAUGGCACCAAGGCAGAAGCUUUCCUUAACAGGUUUUGAUAGUCUCCGGACCGGACUCCAAUUAAACAAUUGGAGGGCCUGACUGAUGGGUUGGGUUUGUUGGACGGAAAACAAAAAAAAUUCUAGAAAAAACUCUAGAUCAUAUCUACUAGAUGUAAGUAAUGAGAGGGAUUAUGAUCAUCAUAUCCUUUAGACCAAAAAGCGUUACGACCAUGGAAUCAUUGUUGGCGCAGUGAAACUUUCGAUUAGAUCAAUCUCAGUGCAGAACCGACGGCACCUUCUUGGUAUCCACACGUUCAGCUUCACGUCGUCUCCUCC